AGAAAACAAGGGAAGUAUUUAUUGAACACAUAAAAUAUCUUGGUCAUAAGAAGGAAAAAAACCUAUGAAUCAUAUUUAUUCUAUAUUUGCGGGAGGCUUUUCAAACAAAGACAUCAGCUGUCAUGUAACACCACACGUGACAUGCUUAUACAAAAUGUUGAUCAACAAAGUCAAAUCUCAAUUAGCAAAAUUACCUGGUAGGGAAGCUAGUGUCCCUUUGGUUAUAAAAAUAAUUAGUGCUAAACUCGAGUUUGUAACAGGUUAUGCAGAAUUGCCAAUCCGUAGCAUUUUGCAACACACACCAAAUUGCUAUCACUAUCUUUUGCAAAAAAAUGACUUGAUCAGUCUAAUAUAAUUGGAUAUUUUGCGACUAGCAAUAAGCACAGAAAGAUUAUAAUGAACUUGUGCCCUAGGAACAUUCUGCGCACUUUGAACAUGCAUUUUUCCUGUGUUUUUGAAUACUUCCCUUCUAUCUCCCAGCAAGCUGAUGCCCAAAAAGAAGAUUCUAAAGCUUGUAUUCAUAAUCAUAGGAAUUUUAAAGGCAUUAUUUUCAUGCAUGUGAUUGAGAGGAUGAGGAGGCUUGGUUCCACAGUAAGGUUGCUUUAUUGUGACUUGAAGGUCACAAUAUCAAACCACAAAAACAGCCUCCCCUUGCUGGUAUAAAAACUAACCAUAAACUAGCAAUUAAUAUUUUUUUAAACUUUUUUAAAAAAUUUGUAUAACCAAUUAGGAAAAUAAAAUGAGAAGAUAUAAUACAUGAUAUUUAAAAAUUAAAUGUUUCCUUAAUGAUAAUUUAACAUGUUAACAGAAAAAGCAUAAAAUAAUUUACCAAACAACUAUAAUUUAUCAACUAUCAGCCAUUAACUACUAGUUAUUCGCAACUACUGUCAACUAGGACUAACAGUUAAACCAAAUAGAGCCUGUAUGUACAUGUAAAUGCAAACAAUUACCCACAAAGAUGAAUAAAAGAAGAUAAAAUCAAAUAUUAGAAAUGAUAAUAAAUGCGAGCUUGCCAUGUGAAUUUUGACGAAUGUUAACAUAGCU
rnacentral:misc_RNA from 1 species